GAUCAGACAAAGCACGGAGUGAAUUUGGCAUUUAUUAGAUGGCGAGAGGAGAAGUUUGUAUGAACAGUGAUUCGUUUUUUGGCUACUUUUCUACUUGACACAUAAGCGUCGAUUGUUGCAGGCUACACUACUUCAGACCUGAAAAGAGGGGUCACCACUGCUCCCUGUUAAGUGUGAAGACCGAGGCCGGUGUGCCUGUUGCAGAAUUUAAA